GCGCCGCGACAGAACAGGGUGCAUUGAAAACAAGCAAAAAAAUGUUUCAUUACAGGUCGAUACAAGCAUCGGAAAUGUACGUCAUCUUCUUUUGCAGAAUACCUUUUUUGUUAUGUGCAUCGGACGAAUAUCUGGCGCUGUUUUGACUCCUUUGUCCAUUUUACCACUUCUUGUUGUUUCCAGAUGGCAAAAAUACCUUCAGGGAACCGAACUACAAAAAUAGGAACACACACCAUAUACGGAGGGUGUAGAACAACGACAGAGAGAUUGUGGAAGUGUGUUCCAGAGUUUGGGGGCGAUGGCAAAUUGAAGUUCAGUUUAAAAAAUCUCUCAGUACUUUGACUAUUCUCCUUCUAUAUCUAAUUCCUAAUGUUUGUGAUACUCUCUUGUAAUUGAUUCAUUGUGAUGCUUUUCUGUAAUGCUUUGUACAGUGACCUUGAGUUUGAUAAAGCCCCUGUAUAAAUUAAACUUAUUAUUUUGCUGGGACUAUGUGGCAGAAAUAACAGCCAGCCACAUCUAUUUUGCAGUUGAUAGCACAGUAAUUGGACAGAUCAACAACAGUGACAAAGCUGUUUAUCGAAAUGAGAUGGCAGAGCUAGAUCAUAACAAUAAAUCUUUUAACACUUUAGGAGAUAAUCAUUUCACACAUACAGAGAGUUGUGAAUCAAAUUAUUAAGUGCUUUCAUUAUUUGCAGUGUUUUUCGUUAUCUUACUUGACACUGAAAUCAUAUGCAGUUUGUAAUGUAUUGCUUGAAAUGCCCCUUAUAUACUUUUGUAUUAUACUGUGGCAUUCACUACUGGACUCGUGGGUGGCCACUGGGAGCGUAGAGGAGCAUGGCGAGGACUCCUAGGAUUCUGUGCACCUCUCUGCAAUCUUAUUUUCAGUUAAAUUUUAUGUUCAUGUUUGUUGUUGGAAAUUGUUGGUUUGCGUGUAUGCAUUAGUUUAAUUAUAAUACUAGAAUUUUGUCUACUGUUUUCAUGAUGUGUUGUGUCUAGUUAUACAUCCCUCAAUUUCUGCAUUAGAUUGAUCUUUUUCCUGUUGGUUAUUGUACAUAUUCAAAUAAACAACAUAUUAAUUUUGAAUGAA